CCUACGGGGGGCAGCAGUGGGGAAUAUUGCUCAAUGGGGGAAACCCUGAAGCAGCAACGCCGCGUGGGGGAUGAAGGUUUUCGGAUUGUAAACUCCUUUUGUUAGAGAAGAUAAUGACGGUAUCUAACGAAUAAGCACAGGCUAACUCCGUGCCAGCAGCCGGGGUAAUACGGAGGGUGCAAGCGUUAAUCGGAAUCACUGGGCGUAAAGAGCGCGUAGGCGGGAUAGCAAGUCAGAUGUGAAAUCCUAUGGGUUAACCAUAGAACUGCAUUUGAAACUGGUAUUCUAGAGUAUGGGAGAGGUAGGUGGAAUGCUUGGUGUAGGGGUAAAAUGCAUAGAGAUCAAGAGGAAUACUCAUUGCGAAGGCGACAUGCUGGAACAUAACUGACGCUGAUGCGCGAAAGCGUGGGGAGCAAACAGGAUUAGAUACCCCAGUAGUC
rnacentral:rRNA from 1 species